rnacentral:rRNA from 1 species
UACGUAGGAGGCGAGCGUUGUCCGGAUUUACUGGGCGUAAAGAACGCGUAGGCGGUUCGUUAAGUUUGGCGUAAAAUCUCCUGGCUCAACUGGGAGGGCGCACCGAAGACUGGCGGACUGGAGGGCAUCAGAGGAAAGCGGAACUCCCGGUGUAGUGGUGAAAUGCGUAGAGAUCGGGAAGAACACCUGUGGCGAAGGCGGCUUUCUGGGGUGUACCUGACGCUGAGGCGUGAAAGCGUGGGUAGCAAACAGG